rnacentral:SRP_RNA from 1 species
GCCGGGCCUGGUGGCGCAUGCCUGUAAUCCCAGCUACUUUGGAGGCUGAGGCCAGAGAAUCACUUGAAUCCAGGAGGUGGAGGUUGCAGUGAGCAGAGAUCGUGUCACUGCACUCCAGCCUGGGUGACAGAGUGAGACUCUGUCUCAA